rnacentral:rRNA from 1 species
GAUGAACGCUGACAGAAUGCUUAACACAUGCAAGUCGAUGGGGAAGGCUGAGCUUGCUUAGCUGGUAACCAUGGCGGACGGGUGAGUAACGCGUAAGGAACUUACCUGCGGGACUGGGAUAACGGAGGGAAACUUCUGACAAGACUGGAUAAAGUUACUGGGCAGCAUUGUUUGGUAAUGAAAGGAGACGCCUGCGGAGAGUCUUGCGUCCUAUUAGCUAGUUGGUUGGGUAACGGCUGACCAAGGCGAAGAUAGGUAGCCGGCCUGAGAGGGUGGACGGCCACAAGGGGACUGAGAUACGGCCCUU